UAUAUUAUGCCUGAAAAAGGGCUACUUUGAUAGAGUAGAAUAUGAGGGUCAGCCCCUCUAAUAUUA